rnacentral:rRNA from 1 species
UGGUGGGUUGCCUUGUCAGGUUGAUUCCGGUAACGAACGAGACCUCAGCCUGCUAAAUAGUUACCCCUACUUUGGUAGGGGGCGAACUUCUUAGAGGGACUAUUGGCGUUUAGCUAAUGGAAGUGUGAGGCAAUAACA